ACUCAACGAGAAUCUAUUAUAAAGGAUAAGUCUUAGUUGCUAAAGCGAGCCGUCUAGAACGGAUACUUGAUCAGCUAGUUAGUCCUAAACCUGUAAUAAUGGAGUUU
rnacentral:sRNA from 1 species